UACGUAGGGUGCGAGCGUUAAUCGGAAUUACUGGGCGUAAAGCGUGCGCAGGCGGUUUUGUAAGCCGGAUGUGAAAUCCCCGGGCUUAACCUGGGAAUGGCAUUCGGGACUGCAAGGCUGGAGUGCGGCAGAGGAGACUGGAAUUCCUGGUGUAGCAGUGAAAUGCGUAGAUAUCAGGAGGAACACCGAUGGCGAAGGCGGCUAACUGGUCCAGCACUGACGCUGAGGUGCGAAAGCGUGGGGAGCAAACAGG
rnacentral:rRNA from 1 species